rfam:Biomphalaria glabrata isolate BB02 unplaced genomic scaffold LGTN_random_Scaffold2191, whole genome shotgun sequence.
UCUACGGCCCUUUUCAGGGCCACCCAAAUCGUACAAAUUCUAAAAAG